GGCCAGUUCAAUGGAUUUUAAAAAUUAUUAUUCUCUAGAAAAAAGACCACGAACUUUGGAGUGGACAUCCUGAGACCUGCCUACGAAGACCAUUAGGGACACAGAGGAAUCUGGGGGAUAUUAUGGUUCUGGGAAUGUGGAAUGUAACGUCUCAUCUUCAGCCCAUCUGUGCUACUGAUCAUCUCAUUCCAGAAGCCAUGCCUUCUCUCAGGAGCAGACAGCACAAGACUUUCCUGCCAGAGGCACAGUCCCCAGUGGGAGUAGCAUCCACAUAAGACAGGAUGCAGAGAUGUCUUCAAGCAGCUUCAAACAAAACUUCAAGAAAGAAAGUGCAAGUGAAAAAGGAAAUUCAUCCUUCCAGUCACUUAACACAGCACUGUCACGGACACCUUGUGCCUCCUUAAAAUUCGUAUACUGAAGUUCUAAGCCCCAGUACCCCAGAAUGUGACCUUCUUUGGAAAUAGGGUCAUUGCAGAUAUGAUUAGUUAAGAGGAGAUCAUACUGGAGUGGGCUUUAAUCCAAUAUGACUGGUGUCCUUAUGUAAAGGGGAAAUUUGGACACAGACACACACAAGGAGAACACCAUGUGAACUGAAGUCAAAGAUUUGGGUGAUGCUUCUACAAGCCAAGAAAUGCCAAAGAUGACCAGCAAAGCACCGGCAGCUGGUGGAGGAGCCUGGACCAGAUUCUUCCUCACAGCCCUCAAAAGGAACCAAUCUUGCCAAAGCUUUGACUUAGACUUCUAGCCCCCUGUGAUGGUUAAUGUUAAGUGGCAGCUUGACUGGGUUAAGGGAUGCCCAGAUAGCUGGUAAGACAGUAUGUCUGUGUGCAUCUCUCAGAGUGUUUCUGGACAAGAUCAGCAUUUGAAUCCUUAGAGUAAAGAAGAUCUGCCCUCACCCACGUGCAUCACCCUAUCUCUGGAGAGCGCGAACAAACAGGAGGAAGGGCACAUAUGCUCCUUCUGUUCCAGCUGGCACAUCCAUCUUCUCCUGCCCCCUGACUUCAGAGCUCCUGGUUCUCGGGCCUCAGGAUUCCAGCACUUACAUGAGAGCGUGCUUCCCCCUCCCUACUCCACCCCUAGGUUCUCCGCCCUUUGGCCUCUGACUGAAUUCCACCACCAGCUUUUCAGGGUCUCCAGCUUGCAGACGGCAGAUCGUGGGACUUCUUGGCCUCCAUAAUUAUGUAAGCCAAUUCCCAUAAUAAAUCUCCUAUCUAUCUAUCUAUCUAUCCAUCUAUCAAUCAUCUAUCUAGUCUAUCUAUCUAUCUAUCUCUAUCCUAUUGAUUCUGUGUCUCUGAGGAACCCUAAUACACCUCCAGAACUGUGAGAUGAUACAUUUCUGUGGUUUAAGCCACUCAGAAGGUGGUACUUUGUUUCACCAGGCCUAGCAAACUAAUACAAGUGCAUGGAAGGUGACUACUCAUGACUGCAACUUAGAGAACAAGGGUUAUAAUAAAAAUAAAAGUGUUAUACAAAGGUGGCAAGAUAAAUGACAAUAAAUGAAAAUAUUAACAUGUGAAUUAAAAAGUAAAGAUAUUUUUCCUAGCAUUCUCCCAGAAAGUAGAGACGCGUCUCUCUUGUUUGCCAUCAUAUCCAGCAAUGGCAAGAUAAGUUCUAGGCACUUCAUAAAAAUUUG
rnacentral:lncRNA from 10 species